GGGAGGGGAGAAGGUGAAGGAGAUAGAGAUGAAGGGGUUGUGGGGUAGCGGGGAGAGCGGUGUUUAUUUACCGGUAGCUAAAGUAUAUUUGCUGGAGGGGGGUCGAGGGAGGGAGAAAAAGAAAGACAGGCAACUGGAAAUAAAAACAAAGUCAAAUUCAAAUUAAAAGGUCAAGAUAUGCUUCAGGUCAGAGAGAAACAAGAUUUGGAGCGUCCUGCUGCAGAAGGUCCGACCUAGUGGACAAGGAGGAGGGUGACUUGGGCCGCUCCCCCCACCCUGCACACCCCAAUUCCCAGAGACGGAAUUGGUUUGGAAAUGAUUUGAGUCAAGAAUUUUCUGCAAGCGUCUCUGGGCUUGUUUGGCCGGGAAAUAGCUCCGUGGCCAGCUGAGCCAUGUCUCGCCGUUUUCUUGGACAAGGUUAAAGGCUUUAAGGCAGCAGAAGAAGCUCAGGCGGCUUCACGCAAAGAACCAUUUGUCCCCCCACCCCAGCCCUUUCCCACCCCCUCCCCCCUUAGAAAGCGGCCCUACGCUUUAUGGCCAGUCUGUUUGUAUUAUCUGCAUAGUCUUUUCCCACCAGUUUGAUCGAAACCGUUCGCUUUUACGAGGACCCAACGAAAAUUCCCCCGUCAUAUUUAUCAGCCGAGGAUAAAAAUUUAGUAUGGGAACUGAUAUUUCCUCAUUUAUAGGGCGAUGAAAUUAAAGACCAAAGCAAUUGAGAAUUA